GAUGAACGCUAGCGGCAGGCCUAAUACAUGCAAGUCGGACGGGAUCGGGGAGCUUGCUCCCCGUGAGAGUGGCGCACGGGUGCGUAACACGUAUGUAACCUACCUUUAUCAGGGGGAUAGCCUCCCGAAAGAGAGAUUAACACCGCAUAACAUCACAUGAUAGCAUUAUCGAGUGAUCAAAUAUUCAUAGGAUAAAGAUGGGCAUGCGGGACAUUAGCUAGUUGGCGGGGUAACGGCCCACCAAGGCGACGAUGUCUAGGGGAUCUGGGAGGAUAACCCCCCACACUGGUACUGAGACACGGACCAGACUCCUACGGGAGGCAGCAGUAAGGAAUAUUGGUCAAUGGACGCAAGUCCGAACCAGCCAUGCCGCGUGCAGGAGGACGGCCCUACGGGUUGUAAACUGCUUUUGUACCGGAAUAAACCCUUUUACGUGUAAGAGGCUGAAUGUACGGUAAGAAUAAGGAUCGGCUAACUCCGUGCCAGCAGCCGCAGUAAAAC
rnacentral:rRNA from 1 species